CCUACGGGCGGCAGCAGUGGGGAAUAUUGGACAAUGGGGGGAACCCUGAUCCAGCCAUGCCGCGUGUGUGAAGAAGGCCCUCGGGUUGUAAAGCACUUUCAGUGAGGAAGAACGCCUGGUGGUUAAUACCCAUCAGGAAAGACAUCACUCACAGAAGAAGCACCGGCUAACUCCGUGCCAGCAGCCGCGGUAAUACGGAGGGUGCGAGCGUUAAUCGGAAUUACUGGGCGUAAAGCGCGCGUAGGUGGCUUGAUAAGCCGGUUGUGAAAGCCCCGGGCUCAACCUGGGAACGGCAUCCGGAACUGUCAGGCUAGAGUGCAGGAGAGGAAGGUAGAAUUCCCGGUGUAGCGGUGAAAUGCGUAGAGAUCGGGAGGAAUACCAGUGGCGAAGGCGGCCUUCUGGACUGACACUGACACUGAGGUGCGAAAGCGUGGGUAGCAAACAGGAUUAGAUACCCGAGUAGUC
rnacentral:rRNA from 1 species